UGGCUGAGAGAGGUGUGCGC
rnacentral:misc_RNA from 1 species